rnacentral:rRNA from 1 species
UUAAGUUAGUGGUUAAAUAUUUGAGCUAAACUCAAUUGUGCCAUUAAUACUGGUAAACUGGAGUACAGACGAGGUAGGCGGAAUAAGUUAAGUAGCGGUGAAAUGCAUAGAUAUAACUUAGAACUCCGAUAGCGAAGGCAGCUUACCAGACUGUAACUGACGCUGAUGCACGAGAGCGUGGGUAGCGAACAGGAUUAGAUACCCUGGUAGUCCACGCUGUAAACGAUGCUCACUGGUUCUGUGCGAUAUAUUGUACGGGAUUAAGCGAAAGUAUUAAGUGAGCCACCUGGGGAGUACGUCGGCAACGAUGAAACUCAAAGGAAUUGACGGGGGCCCGCACAAGCGGAGGAACAUGUGGUUUAAUUCGAUGAUACGCGAGGAACCUUACCUGGGUUUAAAUGGGAAAUGUCGUAUUUGGAAACAGAUAUUCUCUUCGGAGCGUUUUUCAAGGUGCUGCAUGGUUGUCGUCAGCUCGUGCCGUGAGGUGUCGGGUUAAGUCCCAUAACGAGCGCAACCCUUACCGUUAGUUGCUAGCAUGUAAUGAUGAGCACUCUAACGGGACUGCCACCGUAAGGUGUGAGGAAGGCGGGGAUGACGUCAAAUCAGCACGGCCCUUACGCCCGGGGCUACACACGUGUUACAAUGGCCGGUACAGAGGGCCGCUACCAGGUGACUGGAUGCCAAUCUCAAAAGCCGGUCGUAGUUCGGAUUGGAGUCUGCAACCCGACUCCAUGAAGCUGGAUUCGCUAGUAAUCGCGCA